AGUGAACGCUGGCGGUAGGCCUAACACAUGCAAGUCGAACGAGUGGCGGACGGGUGAGGAAUACAUCGGAGUCUAUUCUGUCGUGGGGGAUACAGUAGGGAAACUUACGCUCAUACCGCAUACGCGUGAAUGAGCCGAUGGCGGAGUAGCUAGUUUGCGGGGGAAAGGCCCACCAAGGCGACGCUCCGUAGCUGGUCUGAGAGGAUGAUCAGCCACACGGGAACUGAGACACGGUCCAGACUCCUACGGGAGGCAGUAGUGGGGAAUAUUGCACAAUGGGCGCAAGCCUGAUGCAGCCAUGCCGCGUGUGUGAAGAAGGCCUUCGGGUUGUAAAGUACUUUCAGCGGGGAGGCGUUACCCGCAGAAGAAGCACCGGCUAACUCCGUGCCAGCCGCCGCGGUAAUUC
rnacentral:rRNA from 1 species